rnacentral:lncRNA from 1 species
UUUAAAUCUUUAUUAAAUGGUAAAUAUGAUUUCAUUGCCACUUCAAUUAUGUGACGUGUGGAUUUAAAAUAAAGCUGGAACACGGAGCAGUUAUUGUUAGAAAAACUGGGAAAAGGGAGACACACAUACAUUUGUAAAUAUAUAAAGUGAGCCUCACUACAGAUAAAGUGAUCAAAUCCAGAACGCACGAGUUUACAUCUUAAAAAAACCCCCUAUCCUACAAAAUACAUUUACCCUGAUGAUUAGCCCACAUGCUAGAUUACAAUUUUAAUAAUUUUUAGGACAUUCUAUAACAGUAUGUCAAAAUGCAUAGCGACUCGGCAUCUGCUACAUGAAUCUGAUUUCUAUCACUUUCUGUAACACGACUUCAUGGAAAUAUCUGACAUUUCAGCCUCCCUUCUCUAACCUUCCACGGAUAUGUUUGUCCAAUAAAGCCGAAGUGUGGCCGCAGCAGCUUUCUCACCGUGCCCAGCACAAAGCUCAAGCAAGAGGCUCGUACACCAAACUCAGAGGCUUGGAAACGUACAUGUAAAAAUGUUCAACUCAGCCUCCCCUCAGCUGCACAGAAACACGGCUGAAAUCGAAUUUUGUUAAAAGUUAUACAGUCGUGAGCUUCAGGGUCUUACACACAAAGCGUUCUUUGUCUAAUUCCUCCAUAAUUUCAAACACACUUUCGGCUUUGCCUCACGAGUUACAUUAGUUAAUAAACGGGGCAAAAUAAAUACUAAAAAAUGACAGCUUCCCCUGUUUACACCGAUUCCUGCUACAUUCACUCUUAUUGUCCACAAGCGCGUUUGUUCUGGCAAGGCCCAAACUCGACCUUAGAAAGCACAGAUGCAUUGCAAGCCAUAAAGUAAUUAUGCUCCUUUAUACCCCUUCCUCAUCGGUUACGGAUUUUUUUUAAAGGUAGUUAUCAGUGGUAACGAUAAUUACCUUUAAACAAAGCAAAAAUUACUUGCUUUGUUUUUAUUUCCUUUUCCUUUAUGACUGCAAGCAGCAAAUAAACAGUUCUAGCACGAAUCAGAGCGUUUAUUCGGUAUCGUCAAGCUACCAAACAUUAAAUAAAUCAAUGGUUUAAUCUCUAAUCAGGCUCUGUACAAUGUUGCAGCCUUUCAGGAACCUUCGGUUACGUUAUUGAUCCGCUAGUGAAUUACCUCCAGUUCAGCCAUAGGUUGCAGGCAUCACCAUCCCUCGCUUGUCCUCGCGUUGACAACACUCCUCUUGCCAUCGCUCCUAGAAGCCACAAGAUUCGUCAGUCCGGCGUGUCUGAUAUGCCAAACCCGCCGCGCCCCGAGGCCCCGCCGGGCGCUGAGGGAGCCCGGGGCCGCCGGAGCCCCGCGCCCGGGAG